UGAAGUCUAUGGCCAUACCACCCUGAACGCGCCCAAUCUCGUCUGAUCUCGGAAGCUAAGCAGGGUCGGGCCUGGUUAGUACUUGGAUGGG
rnacentral:rRNA from 14 species